rnacentral:rRNA from 1 species
CCGAAUGAGACCACGGCGACCUCGGUCGAUGUGGGAAAAGGUGGCCUCUCCUUGGAAGCUAUCGCCAAAGGAUGAGCCCGCGUUUGAUUAGCUAGUUGGUGAGGUAACGGCUCACCAAGGCGACGAUCAAUAGCUGGUCUGAGAGGAUGAUCAGCCACACUGGAACUGAGAUACGGUCCAGACUCCUACGGGAGGCAGCAGUCAGGAAUAUUGGGCAAUGGGCGAAAGCCUGACCCAGCAACGCCGCGUGAAGGAUGAAGGCCUUCGGGUCGUAAACUUCUGUCGAGAGGGAAGAAUGCGUACGGGUGAACAAUCCGUGCGUUUGACGGUACCUCCAAAGGAAGCACCGGCUAACUCCGUGCCAGCAGCCGCGGUAAUACGGAGGGUGCAAGCGUUGUCCGGAUUCAUUGGGCGUAAAGCGAGUGUAGGCGGUUUGACAAGUCGAAUGUGAAAUCCCAGGGCCCAACCCUGGAACUGCAUCCGAUACUGUCUGGCUAGAGUCCCGGAGAGGGUGGCGGAAUUCCCGGUGUAGGGGUGAAAUCCGUAGAUAUCGGGAGGAACACCAGUGGCGAAGGCGGCCACCUGGACGGUGACUGACGCUGAGACUCGAAAGCGUGGGUAGCAAACAGGAUUAGAUACCCUGGUAGUCCACGCUGUAAACGGUGAGUGCUCGUCGUCGUGGGUAUUGACCCCUGCGGUGACCAAGUUAACACAUGAAGC